ACUUUCAGAAAAUCUACAGCGGGAGAAUGCUCUUUUUCGUGAAAAUCUACAGCAGGAGAAUGCCGUUGUUCGUGAUCAAUUGAACGCAUUAGCAAAAAUUUUAGCUGACCAAACAGUUUUGCUAAAACAGCUUACAAAGGAGAAGGGCGAAAUGAAUUCUGUUCAGGACCAGUUCCCGAUUGAAACGGACGAGCAGUUGAUGAAAAUGGAGGAGAAUGUAAAAAUGAAUAGAGACAUUUAUAUUUCAACAAUAAAAUCCAUUUUACAGCCAGCCGGAGUGCGCGUCAACCUAAAAUUUAUUUUAGUGACGAAAUCGUACUGGCGUAUAAUGUGGAUGGAGUACAAGGGAAGAAAGCCCUCAGGAGCCACUCGGAGUUUUAUGGAGCUUUGCUAGAAUGUAUUCCGCCUGGAGACGAAGCACCAGAAAUGCUGAUGCGCAAAGCGAUGCAGAGGGUGAAAAAACGAGUGUUUAAGCAAAGGUGUAACAAACCCAAAAAUGACUUAGAAACUGUUUAGGCUAGGCUAGAUUUUAAUAUAUAUUUUAAGUUUGAAUUUUGAAAGAAUUUUGAAUUAAUCAUUCA